UAGGGAAUCUUCCGCAAUGGACGCAAGUCUGACGGAGCAACGCCGCGUGAGUGAAGAAGGAUUUCGGUUCGUAAAACUCUGUUGUUAGAGAAGAACAGCGCAUAGAGUAACUGUUAUGCGUGUGACGGUAUCUAACCAGAAAGCCACGGCUAACUACUUGCCAGCAGCCGCGGUAAUACGUAGGUGGCAAGCGUUGUCCGGAUUUAUUGGGCGUAAAGCGAGCGCAGGCGGUCAAUUAAGUCUGAUGUGAAAGCCCCCGGCUCAACCGGGGAGGGUCAUUGGAAACUGGUUGACUUGAGUGCAGAAGAGGAGAGUGGAAUUCCAUGUGUAGCGGUGAAAUGCGUAGAUAUAUGGAGGAACACCAGUGGCGAAGGCGACUCUCUGGUCUGUAACUGACGCUGAGGCUCGAAAGCGUGGGUAGCAAACAGG
rnacentral:rRNA from 1 species